rnacentral:rRNA from 1 species
UACGUAGGGUGCGAGCGUUAAUCGGAAUUACUGGGCGUAAAGCGUGCGCAGGCGGUUUUGUAAGACAGAUGUGAAAUCCCCGGGCUUAACCUGGGAAUGGCAUUUGGGACUGCAAGGCUUGAGUGCGGCAGAGGAGACUGGAAUUCCUGGUGUAGCAGUGAAAUGCGUAGAUAUCAGGAGGAACACCGAUGGCGAAGGCAGGUCUCUGGGCUGACACUGACGCUCAUGCACGAAAGCAUGGGGAGCAAACAGG